GAUCAUGGCUCAGGAUGAACGCUGGCGGCGUGCUUAACACAUGCAAGUCGAGCGAAGCACUUAGGAAAGAUUCUUCGGAUGAUUUCCUAUUUGACUGAGCGGCGGACGGGUGAGUACGCGUGGGUAACCUGCUUCAUACAGGGGGAUAACAGUUAGAAAUGACUGCUAAUACCGCAUAAGACCACAGCACCGCAUGGUGCAGGGGUAAAAACUCCGGUGGUAUGAGAUGGACCCGCG
rnacentral:rRNA from 1 species